rnacentral:rRNA from 1 species
CCUACGGGGGGCAGCAGUGAGGAAUAUUUGUCAAUGGACGAGAGUCUGAACCAGCCAAGUAGCGUGAAGGAUGACUGCCCUACGGGUUGUACACUUCUUUUAUAUGGGAAUAAAACAGGGUAUGCAUCCCCUCUUGUAUGUACCUUAUGAAUAAGGAUCGACUAACUCCGUGCCAGCAGCCGCGGUAAUACGGAGGAUCGGAGCGUUAUCCGGAUUUAUUGGGUUUAAAUGGAGCGUAGGUGGAUUGUUAAGUCAGUUGUGAAAGUUUGCGGCUCAACCGUAAAAUUGCAAUUGAAAAUGGCAGUCUUGAGUACAGUAGAGGUGGGCGGAAUGCGUGGUGUAGCAGUGAAAUGCUUAGAUAUCACGAAGAACUCCGA